GGAGAGGUAAAAAGAGAAAAGGCAGCUUCUGAUAUUUUUGGAAGGAGUUUGACUGUGAUGUAAAACUCUCUGGGGCCUGUGAUUAUUUGGCAAAUGGAAGAUGAACUGCAGAAUUGUAAAAACAAACGCAAAGCCAGCAAGGUAGCAUGCAAGGAGUGGUGGUGCAGAUGGAGGAUAUAAGCCUGCCUCUGAGGAGGGCACUGCAGCUGUCAGUGUCUGGGUUUUUGGAAGGUGUAUUCUUGACUCUAACGUUAUCCUGAACCUGUUCUGUGUUGGUCACUGCAGGGAAGAGUUGUUGUAAAUGCUCCUGUGUGCUGGUAUCCUGGAACACGGCCUGGCUUUACGUCAUACAGGAUGUCUUGAUUCUAUCAGUAGCAGAUAUCUAAAGUAUUUUUGUUUCUUCAUGGCAGUUUCAGAUAAACUUUUCCUAUUUGGAGCUGAGCUGAAUUUUUCCAAGAAAUAGUCAUGCUUUUCCACUGUGGCCAAAUACGAGAAUUCUUCUAUUAUCUACUUUUCAUUUUUGCUUGUCAUCUGUGGAUCUUCAGUCACGCUGCAAAGGCACAGCAUGCUGAUUUAACAGGAGAGCCGUAUCAAACGUCACAAAAACUGUAUCAGUCUGACACGUGUUACAAAGGUGGCUCCGCGAAAUGGAAAUGGAAGCAGGAGCUGAAAACACUGAUUGAAUUUCGGUCUGAAUCUCAUCCCGUUAUAAAAUAAAGCGGGUUGGAGAGGAGCUGUGCAUAAUGAAUGGAGGAAAUCCUCGCGCUGUCCCUUUAACUACCGAACAUCUGAUUCCCUCAUCUGGCAGAUGGUCUCUGAGCACAGAUUUGCAUUCAUUGUCUUGAAAUCUGUUUUCGCGUUGUUAUAUGGAUUUCGGAGGCAGAUCUGUGCCCGGAUCAGAACACAGAAGGAAAAUAGCAGCGAGCCCGAAUGGCUUUAUAAAGUAAAAGCAUAGCGGCCCGUUGUGCGGCCGGCCGGGCCAACUCCGCUGUCCUUUCCCGGGGGAUGCUGUCCUCCAUCGCUUUACCGGGAAUUGUUCAGGCUCGAGCUGACAGCCCCGUGCCCGGCGAGCGCUGCGGGAGGGGCGGCCUCUCGUGCCCCCACCCCUCAGGCUGAGCCCCCUCCGACCGUUUCGGGGUGCGUGGCGGUGUCGCUUUCAAAUAUCGCGCCUGGAAGCCAUCAGCCGGCC
rnacentral:lncRNA from 1 species